rnacentral:lncRNA from 1 species
CUCAGCCUCCCGAGUAGCUGGGACUACAGGCGACUGCUGCCACGCCCGGCUAAUUUUUUGUGUUUUUAGUAAAGACAAGGUUUCACCGUGUUAGCCAGGUCGAUCUCCUGACCUCGUGGUCCACCCGCCGAACGAGGUCGAUCUCCUGACGUCGUGGUUCACCCGCCUCGGCCUCCCAAAGUGCUGGGAUUACAGACGUGAGCCACCGCGCCCGGCAUGAAUAGUACUUAUACAUGUUUAGAUGCAAAUCUUUCCUUACAUAGUGUUCCUCCCCUCUGGAGGAUGCGGCGCUCAAGAUGCCAUGUUGGAAACAGAGAAACUGGACCCUGAUCUACCGGUGCCUUGACCUUGGACUGCCCAGCCUCCAGACCUGUGUGAAAUAAAUUUAUUUUCUUUAUAAAUUAUCCAAUCGGUGGUAUUCUGCUAUAGAAGCACAAAACAGACUAAGACAGGCAAGAAGAUUAUUCUGGCUGCAUAGAUGAGUUGGGAAAUAGUCUAUCUUCUAUUUUCUGGAAGAUUUUUUUGUAAUGUUAGCAUAAUCUGCUGUUCUAACGUUUGGUAGAACUUGCCCAUAAAACUGUAUGUGCCUGGGGAGGCAACAUUUCAACUUCAAUGUAUUUAAUAGUUAAAGGAAAAUUCAGUCUCUCUAUUCUCUUGAUUUUUUAAACCAAAUUAUACUAUUCUAAGUAUUUGUUUAACCUAAAUUUUAAAAUUUAGAAUAUAAAGCUUUUGACGAAAUUCUCAGUGUAUUUUAAACCUCUGUUUCAUCUAUAAUUAUGGUUCAUUUACAUUCCUAAUACUAUUUUUUCUUCUUUCUUUUUAUCUUCAUCAGUUUUAC